GACUCGGUGGUGAAAUAAAUCACACCCGCCACGCAUAUAUCUGAGAGUGCCGAGCUAAACCGCGGGAGUUCCCUGUUCGAACCAGGGCUGAGUCU